UGCCAGCCGCCGCGGUAAGACGAACCGCCCAAACGUUAUUCGGAAUCACUGGGCUUAAAGGGUGCGUAGGCGGCGUCGUAAGUCGGGUGUGAAAUCCCACGGCUCAACCGUGGAACUGCGCCCGAUACUGCGGUGCUCGAGGGAGAUAGAGGGAAGCGGAACUGAUGGUGGAGCGGUGAAAUGCGUUGAUAUCAUCAGGAACACCGGUGGCGAAAGCGGCUUCCUGGGUCUCUUCUGACGCUGAGGCACGAAAGCUAGGGGAACGAACGGGAUUAGAUA
rnacentral:rRNA from 1 species